UUUUAAAAUUAUAUUUUGCUUGUAUUUUUUUACUUAUCUUGCAAAUUUUAAUUUUUAAACUAGGAUUAGAUACCCUAUUAUUUUAGAAUGUAUUUUUUAAUGCUUAGGUAGUAUUAGUUAUGGUCUUGAAACUUAAAAAAUUUGGCGGUAUUUUAGUCCAUUCAGAGGAACCUGUUCUGUAAUCGAUAAUCCACGUUGGAUCUUACUUGGUAUUUUUGGUUUGUAUACCGCCGUUAUUGAUUAUUUUAUUAGAAUAAUAAUUUUCAAUUGUUUAUAUAAGAAUUAAUAUCAGGUCAAGGUGCAGCCUAUAAUCAAGUUUAAAAUGGGUUACAAUAAGAUUACUUAUACGGAGGCUAGAUUUAAAUUUUUAGCUGAAGGUGGAUUUGAUAGUAAAAUUAUGGAGAUAGUUUAUUUGAUUAUGGCUCUAAUAUAUGUAC
rnacentral:rRNA from 1 species